CCUACGGGAGGCAGCAGUGGGGAAUAUUGCGCAAUGGAGGAAACUCUGACGCAGCAACGCCGCGUGGGUGAAGAAGGUCUUCGGAUUGUAAAGCCCUGUCGGGAGGGAAGAAAAGCACAUGGUGAAUGUGUCUGACGGUACCUUCGAAGGAAGCACUGGCUAACUCCGUGCCAGCAGCCGCGGUAAUACGGAGAGUGCAAACGUUGUUCGGAAUUAUUGGGCGUAAAGGGCGCGUAGGCGGCUUGGUAAGUCAGAUGUGAAAGCCCUGGGCUCAACCCGGGAAGUGCGUUUGAAACUGCUAAGCUUGAGUGCAGGAGGGAGAGGUGGAAUUCCAGGUGUAGGAGUGAAAUCCGUAGAUAUCUGGAGGAACACCGGUGGCGAAGGCGACCUCUUGGCCUGAAACUGACGCUGAGGCGCGAAGGCGUGGGUAGCAAACAGGAUUAGAUACCCUGGUAGUCCACGCGGUAAACGAUGCUCACUGGGUGCUGGUGGCAGACGCUGUCAGUGCCGUAGCUAACGCGAUAAGUGAGCCGCCUGGGGAGUACGGUCGCAAGAUUAAAACGUCAAAGAGUAGUAGACGUGAGAGAGCGACGACGACGACGACGGAGGGAGGAGG
rnacentral:rRNA from 1 species